UGAAUAGAUAAUUCGUCGGUCCAGUCAGCUCCACCCGAAGUGUAGGAACAGACUGCAGAGCGCAGCAAAACUGAUGAGACGACAGUAGAACAUGCCACCUGAUGGGUUACAUCAGGAUCGCGUGCGCAUCGGUAUUGAUCAAAGACAGAUAGUAAAGGAAUAUUUUUGGGAUGUACCUUGGUUGAGUAUAACUAUCUGGGCUGUGAAAAUUUGAUUGCCGAAGAAAAGGUCCUUGGUCGAGCGUUGCCUUUGGGCGCCGAUUAUAUUCGAUAUCAAGUGACCAGGCUGUAUUUAAGGACCCUGGUUGAGCUUCGCUCUCCGGACGCCAGUCCUAUUAAAAUAAGAGAGUCGAAAGGCUGCUAGUAUUGGGGUUAGGGUUCUGCUGAAGUGCUUGCCCUUUAUGAGUUAAAAAAUAUUUAUUUUAAAAUUAUGCUAUGGUACAUACUUAUUAUUUUA